rnacentral:lncRNA from 1 species
GAAUAAACUAUAGGGUUUGAUUUUGCCAAAAUCAUACUUCAAGGACUGAUAUUGAGAAUUACUCUCAAGAUAGGGGUUAAACAUGUGUAUUUGAAACUGUUGUAUGGUUUUAGUACUUAAUUUAUUAGGUUUUUCCAAGGGAGGGACCAUUGUUUGUUUAAUUAAAUACAAGUUUGACUUAGCUUUGACCUUUGACUGGGUCAAAAUCAAAACUCAUUUGUUUAUGGGGGCUCCAAGUCUGAUCCACAUAAGUGGGUCCAUUUACGAAAAGGAUCAGGGCUCUUACCCCGUUUCUUAGUUUGAUCGGGUAAUGGAUACGAAACGCGAAUGAACUACAGCGGACAUGAAGGAAGGAAGCGUCAUUGCAGCGGAGAAGAAAUCGAACACCAACUUUGAUUUGGGGGUUCAACCCUUGGUUCCUUGUUCGUCGCAGGCCAAAAAGGGGACCGGGAGGCAUCGGCGAUUGCCUAUUGCAAGGAGGAGAGGUCAUCUCCGGGGCUCCGCGAAUCGAUGCAACGAAGGGAACAAGAAUGAAGCUUCAUCUUCGUCUAAUCGGUUAGGUAGAAGCUAAAAUCGAAGGUAGAAAUCAAAUCAGUUUGGUGGUGGUUUAGUUGAUUGCGAGCAGUGGCGCCAGCAGGUGGCGCAUCUUCUUUCUUUUCUGGCCUGAUAGAUAGCAAACACGAAAGGAGGAAGGUCUUGGUCUUCACCUGAUUUCGAAAGGGUUGAAUAGACUAAAUCAGAAAACGAGAAGCAGCACAACAGGUAUUUGGGAAAUUUUUUGGUUGUAGUGAACUUGAUGAUAAACAAAUGUAAUCAAGAAAGGAUUUUCUCCAUCUUGAUUACCGAGAACUACCUACAUCUAGUGGUGUUUUUGGUAGGAGAACGGAGGAGAAGAAUUGAGAAGGCAGAAGAUCUUGGAGCUAGCUUGCCAUCGAGAUAGAAGAGAACAGGAGGUUGAGUCGAGGGAGGUAGCAACAACAGUGAUCGAAGGGGUGUUUGGCUAGUUCUUCUUCAACAGAAAAAUGAACGGGAAGCAAUAGGUAAAGGUUUCUCUUUUUUUUUUUUUUUUUGAUUUUUUUUGAACGGAAAUUGAAGGAGAAUAAGAGUAGAACAACAAAAUUUCGUUUUGUUUUGAUUGAAAUCUAUAGGGUUUUGAUAUGUAUUUGGGUUUCUUUGUUUGACAGGGAAAGAAUUAGAACUAAGAGGUUGCUGUUUAUUGAAAUCAAAAGGAAGAAGAUGAAAUGGGAUGAAGAAUGAUGAAGCAGUCGUUAUCAUUUUGCAGUCCAUUGUGAAUAUCUUAUAUGAUUCGUAUGUAUUGUAUGUAUUGUAUCUGUGAGUGUGUCUUGCAACUGCACUGUGAAAUCUUGGAGUGUUAAUGAAUGUUCAAUGGAUGGGGCUUCCAUGAAAGGGCACACAGAAGAGCAGAAGCCAUUGCGUGUUGUUUUGUUUAUGAUAAAACUAGUUUAUAACCCGUGGUUUUCACGGUUACAAAAUUAAUUAAAUUUUCUUAGUAAGAGUUCAAAAAUUAUUAAUUAAUUAUUUUAAAUAAAUUACUAAUUAACAAAUAUUUUAUUAGUUAUAUAAAAUUAUAAUCGCUAAUUUAAAUAAAUAUAUGAAAUAUUAUAUCAACUAUAAUUUGUAUUAAUUUUAUUGUAAUUUUAUUCUAAUGUUAUUAAUUUAAUUUAAUUAGAGUGAG